rnacentral:rRNA from 1 species
UAGGGAAUCUUCCACAAUGGACGCAAGUCUGAUGGAGCAACGCCGCGUGCGUGAAGAAGGUUUUCGGAUCGUAAAGCUCUGUUGUUGGUGAAGAAGGAUAGAGGCAGUAACUGGUCUUUAUUUGACGGUAAUCAACCAGCAAGUCACGGCUAACUACGUGCCAGCAGCCGCGGUAAUACGUAGGUGGCAAGCGUUGUCCGGAUUUAUUGGGCGUAAAGCGAGCGCAGGCGGAAUGAUAAGUCUGAUGUGAAAGCCCACGGCUCAACCGUGGAACUGCAUCGGAAAAUGUCAUUCUUGAGUGCAGAAGAAGAGAGUGGAAUUCCAUGUGUAGCGGUGGAAUGCGUAGAUAUAUGGAAGAACACCAGUGGCGAAGGCGGCUCUCUGGUCUGCAACUGACGCUGAGGCUCGAAAGCAUGGGUAGCGAACAGG